rnacentral:rRNA from 1 species
CCUACGGGUGGCAGCAGUGAGGAAUAUUGGUCAAUGGGCGAGAGCCUGAACCAGCCAAGUCGCGUGAGGGAGUACUGCCCUAUGGGUUGUAAACCUCUUUUGUCGGGGAGCAAAAGCCGGACGUGUCCGGCUGUGAGAGUACUCGAAGAAAAAGCAUCGGCUAACGCCGUGCCAGCAGCCGCGGUAAUACGGAGGAUGCGAGCGUUAUCCGGCUUUAUUGGGUUUAAGGGGUGCGCAGGCGGCUUUCUAAGUCAGCGGUCAAAUCGUGGGGCUAAACCCCCUCCAGCCGUUGAAACUGGGGGUCUAGAGUGUACGAAAGGUAGGCGGAAUGCGUGGUGUAGCGGUGAAAUGCAUAGAUAGCACGCAGAACCCCGAUUGCGAAGGCAGCAUACCGGUGCACAACUGACGCUCAGGCACGAAAGCGUGGGUAUCGAACAGGAUUAGAUACCCGAGUAGUC